CACCCUCGGGUGACAGGGAGACAGGUGGUGCAUGGUUGUCGUCAGCUCGUGUCGUGAGAUGUUGGGUUAAGUCCCGCAACGAGCGCAACCCUUGUCAUUAGUUGCCAUCAUUUAGUUGGGCACUCUAAUGAGACUGCCGGUGACAAACCGGAGGAAGGUGGGGAUGACGUCAAGUCCUCAUGGCCCUUAUGGUAGGGCUUCACACGUCAUACAAUGGUCGGUACAGAGGGUUGCCAAGCCGCGAGGUGGAGCCAAUCCCUUAAAGCCGAUCGUAGUCCGGAUCGUAGUCUGCAACUCGACUACGUGAAGUCGGAAUCGCUAGUAAUCGCAGAUCAGCAUGCUGCGGUGAAUACGUUCCCGGGUCUU
rnacentral:rRNA from 1 species